GAAAUGCGAUAAGUAAUGUGAAUUGCAGAAUUCAGUGAAUCAUCGAAUCUUUGAACGCACAUUGCGCCCCCUGGCAUUCCGGGGGGCAUGCCUGUUCGAGCGUCAUUACACCACUCAAGCCUGGCUUGGUAUUGAGCGCCGCGGCCUGCCCACGCGCUCCAAUGUCUCCGGCUGAGCCGUCCGUCUCUAAGCGUUGUGAAUAGCGAUCGCUUGCGAGGCCCGGGCGGUUCGACGCCGUUAAACCCCCCAUUUUCUAUGGUUGACCUCGGAUCAGGUAGGGAUACCCGCUGAACUUAAGC
rnacentral:misc_RNA from 1 species